rnacentral:rRNA from 1 species
CUAGCUACAGGCUUAACACAUGCAAGUCGAGGGGCAGCAUGGUCUUAGCUUGCUAAGGCCGAUGGCGACCGGCGCACGGGUGAGUAACACGUAUCCAACCUGCCGUCUACUCUUGGACAGCCUUCUGAAAGGAAGAUUAAUACAAGAUGGCAUCAUGAGUCCGCAUGUUCACAUGAUUAAAGGUAUUCCGGUAGACGAUGGGGAUGCGUUCCAUUAGAUAGUAGGCGGGGUAACGGCCCACCUAGUCUUCGAUGGAUAGGGGUUCUGAGAGGAAGGUCCCCCACAUUGGAACUGAGACACGGUCCAAACUCCUACGGGAGGCAGCAGUGAGGAAUAUUGGUCAAUGGGCGAGAGCCUGAACCAGCCAAGUAGCGUGAAGGAUGACUGCCCUAUGGGUUGCAAACUUCUUUUAUAAAGGAAUAAAGUCGGGUAUGGAUACCCGUUUGCAUGUACUUUAUGAAUAAGGAUCGGCUAACUCCGUGCCAGCAGCCGCGGUAAUACGGAGGAUCCGAGCGUUAUCCGGAUUUAUUGGGUUUAAAGGGAGCGUAGAUGGAUGUUUAAGUCAGUUGUGAAAGUUUGCGGCUCAACCGUAAAAUUGCAGUUGAUACUGGAUAUCCUGAGUGCAGUUGAGGCAGGCGGAAUUCGUGGUGUAGCGGUGAAAUGCUUAGAUAUCACGAAGAACUCCGAUUGCGAAGGCAGCCUGCUAAGCUGCAACUGACAUUGAGGCUCGAAAGUGUGGGUAUCAAACAGGAUUAGAUACCCUGGUAGUCCACACGGUAAACGAUGAAUACUCGCUGUUUGCGAUAUACAGCAAGCGGCCAAGCGAAAGCGUUAAGUAUUCCACCUGGGGAGUACGCCGGCAACGGUGAAACUCAAAGGAAUUGACGGGGGCCCGCACAAGCGGAGGAACAUGUGGUUUAAUUCGAUGAUACGCGAGGAACCUUACCCGGGCUUAAAUUGCAGAUGAAUUACGGUGAAAGCCGUAAGCCGCAAGGCAUCUGUGAAGGUGCUGCAUGGUUGUCGUCAGCUCGUGCCGUGAGGUGUCGGCUUAAGUGCCAUAACGAGCGCAACCCUUGUUGUCAGUUACUAACAGGUUCCGCUGAGGACUCUGACAAGACUGCCAUCGUAAGAUGUGAGGAAGGUGGGGAUGACGUCAAAUCAGCACGGCCCUUACGUCCGGGGCUACACACGUGUUACAAUGGGGGGUACAGAGGGCCGCUACCACGCGAGUGGAUGCCAAUCCCCAAAACCUCUCUCAGUUCGGACUGGAGUCUGCAACCCGACUCCACGAAGCUGGAUUCGCUAGUAAUCGCGCAUCAGCCACGGCGCGGUGAAUACGUUCCCGGGCCUUGUACACACCGCCCGUCAAGCCAUGGGAGCCGGGGGUACCUGAAGUGCGUAACCGCGAGGAGCGCCCUAGGGUAAAACUGGUGACUGGGGC